GGAGUUGCUGUCAUUUGUUUCUCGCUAAACGCACUGUCAUCUGGUCACUCAGCAGCUCAUCUGGUCUGACAACUAUUUGGAAAGUUAAAGUCUCUGCUUCCAUCAAUCCAAUCCAGUAUAGCACUGUGUCUACAAGCACUUCAGUCUGUGAGGAUAAAUACAAGAGAGAGAGAGAGAGAGAGAGAGAGGAACUAUGAGGCAGAUCUUUCUGGAUUUCUGGAUCCCAGAUAUGAAGACAAAUAAAUCUCCACACAGGUCUUGAAUGAGGAUGUUACUGGAAGCUCUGUGUUCUUGUCCUGCUCUUACAGUGACCAUAAACUGAAUUCAAGCAUGACUGUUUUGAGACCCAGUUAAAGCAGGAAUAUAUUAAACAUCAUUCAGAGAAAUGAUUCACUUGAGGAUCAGGAUCCAGAAUACAGCGUUUCCCAGAAGAGUCGACGAAAGGAAGCUUCACUCCAGCAUUCAUUUGCUGUUUCAUCUGUGUGUUUGCAGUGCUGGUAAAUAAAGUGUGUCUGCAGGUCACAGUAGAGGGUUUUAUUGGUGGUUCUGUCGUUCUGCCGUGUUCUUCAGCUCAACAUGAUCUUAAACUUCAAGAUAUUGAAGUGUUUUGGAGACACAAUGGCAGCAAAAUUGUAUUUGAUAUAAUUCCACACAGUAAUGGACCAGUGACACAGGAUCCAGAGUACAAGAACAGAGUUGAAUCUUUCCCUCAGGAGUAUAUGAGAGGAAACUUCAACAUCAAACUGAACAAUCUUCAACACACUGAUGCAGGACAAUACAUCUGUUACAUCUCACACUCAUCUGAAUAUCAGACUGUAAAGCUGAUCAUCAAUGGAUCAAUAUCCACUGAACGAGGAACAGAACAGGAGGAAAUGGUGCCAUCACUGCCUUUGCUCUUGGUUUGCAUUAUAUUACCUGUUAUUGUAUUUGUAGUGGUUGUUCUUUUAAUUGCAGUUUUCUGGAGAAAAAAGCACUCAAUCAGCCGGGCAGCUGGAAACAGUGUGAGUUCAGCCACUCCUGAGGUUGUGAGCCCUUGUGCACAAUUUAAACCAGCAGUCGGUAAAUGAAAAACUGCACUUUUAUGCAGCAACUGCAUGAGCUUUUGCAUUAAAAAUUGAGUCAAAGGAGGUUGGUGCUUUCAUUGUUGUUGCCGCAGCUUCGGGUAGAAAAAUAAAAAUAAAGUCUAGUAAGUAAAGGAUUUGUUUGAAGAACAGAAAACAGCUAGAAUGAGUGUGUUUCUGUAUCUUCCUUAUGUUCACUCUAUAAGGCUACCUAGCAAUCUCUAGUGAUGUGGCCUUUCAUGGUUUUGGAAUUCAAGUCAAUUCCCAAAAAAUUAUCAGGAGCUCGCAAGGUGCUCUACUUAUUCAUAAAUCAAUAUUGUAAUUAGUCUACAGCUGUUUUUGCAGGAAACGUCAUUCUUCAACACAUGUCAUAUCUGUAAAGGAGAGAAGGUCUCAUAAGUUGCUUGAAGGCUUAAAAAAUGACCUUAAACUGAUAUGAAUUUUCAAGCACAAAGGGAAAGCAACUAUAGUGAAGCAUUAAUCAUUGGCUUGGCUUUUCAGAAAUGUUUAGUUUGCAUAACAUCACAUUUGCAGUGCAUUUAGAUUCUUAAAACAAUGUUUAUGUUUGUAACAUUGCCUAAAUAUCGUUAUAACAACAGCACCAUAUAAACUACUUACCUGGUCAUAUAAAAUUUUUGUGAAUAUUCAUCUUUAUUUCAAUAUUUAUUUUAGUUUUAGGAGUGUUAGAUGUUUUGAUGUUGUUAGCAACUUUCACACUGAUAAGACAAUCGAUUUAUAUUGAACAUGUUUUAUUUGUAAGAGCUGUUAACUAUAUUUUAAAUGUACUACAAUGUUCUCAGGUAUAUACAUUGAAAAUGAGGACCAUUGCGUCUUACAGUAUGUAGACAAGCUCUUUCUGUUCAAGACCCAAUAAAUCAUGUAAAUAAAAUCGAA